AUUCAGUUUCCAUAAUUCAGUAUGACUAAAAACUACUUGAAAUAGAAUUUGAGCAUUCAACCUUCUCCUUCUACUUUCAUCUUCAUUUCACCCUGGCCUCUAUUGCUUUAGUAUUCUGUGGUUGUAAGGCUAAGCACUAAGCAAAAGGUCAACUUUUAUAAUGGUAUAGCAUUUUGUUUUUUGUGGAUGUGUUUAUUUUUUAUGACUUUCCAGGUCUGGAGAAGGAAAUGUACUGUUAUGACUAUAAAGACAUCCUGCUGAAUAUCCUGAUGCUUGGGAAAGUAAAACUCAAUAUAGAAAAAGCAUCACUAAUCAAAUCUACAAAAUUAUUGAUCAAAUUUGGAUCUCUGUGUGCUGUCCUCCAAUUUAAUACUUUCUGUGUUGCUGUUUUAUUUUCUUUCUUCUGGAACCUGGCAAAGUGCGUCAAGCGAUGAGGCUUCCUCUUUGAAGAUCACAGGUGAGAAGAUUAGGUGCUUUCUCAGAAGCCCAGCAACCUGAUGGGAGUGUGGAGUGAGCAAGACCCAAAUCGGAGCUUCAUCCCUGCAUGGUUCAUUUUGCUUAUUUGGCAAACUUGCCCUGCAGAAUCUACUCAAGCUUCCUCAGUUUCUCAAAUCAUUCUUGGGCAACAAAUGAACAAGAAAGAGGACGUCUUAUUAUCUGGUGUCUGGCUUGCUGAUUUAAUAACCUAGGAGACAGUGUUUGAAGAACACAAACUCUAAAGUCCUUCACUUAAAAAAAAAAAAAAACUUUCCCAAAUUGCUUACCAUUUGGAAAAAUUGCCUUACCUUCUUCAGUCAUCUCUGAUGUUGUCAUCCUCAGAGUAAGAAGUACGCAUUCAUAAGGAACCAUAACGUCCUUCAGGAAAUCCAGUACACCCUACAAUUUUACCUAAAACUUUGAUGUUGUUUUUUCUGAGCAUUUUACCUUCUAGGGAAAUGGAUCUCAUGCUGUUUAUCAGUUUCUGAAAGUUGUUAUUAAUCUCCCCUCAUCCCAAAAUUGAAGAACUUUGCUUAAAUCUUAGAAUCAGAACUUUGGCUCCAGUAAUAAAGACUUUUCAA
ensembl:lncRNA LINC01091 long intergenic non-protein coding RNA 1091